GGCAGAAAUACAUUUGAAAGACCCAUAGCUGCACUAUUUCCCUGCUGACAGAGUAAUGGGAGAAAACGAGCAGUGAAAUCCUGUUCACACUUUUACAUUACAACCACUCAACUCCUGUGGCUUCAGAGUGAAGGAGGGGAAGUCACAGCUCCUUUGGCAGCAUUUUGGGCUGGCGGAUCUGGCCUAGUGGAACAAUGAUGGUGUUGUGCAGGUAAGGCCUGUUUGUCCUCUCUCCCAAUGGGACAGCACAGGAGGCCUGUAUGUGGGCAUUUGCACUCAGAUAUCCCCGCUUUCAGGUCUUCAGUAUGAAAAGCUU
rnacentral:lncRNA from 1 species